AUACGGAAGGUCCGGGCGUUAUCCGGAUUUAUUGGGUUUAAAGGGAGCGCAGGCGGAGAUGCAAGCGUGACGUCAAAUUUCGGGGCUCAACCCCGUCUCGCAUCGCGAACUGCGUCCCUUGGUUGCGGGAAGGGGAGGCGGAACUCGUGGUGUAGCGGUGAAAUGCAUAGAUAUCACGAAGAACUCCGAUCGCGAAGGCAGCCUUCCGGCCCGUCAACGACGCUCAUGCUCGAAGGUGCGGGUAUCAAACAGGAUUAGAUACCCUGGUAGUCCGCACAGUAAACGAUGGACACCCGCGGUUUGGCCUGUAUGGCUGAGCCGCCAAGCGAAAGCGUUAAGUGUCCCACCUGGGGAGUACGCCGGCAACGGUGAAACUCAAAGGAAUUGACGGGG
rnacentral:rRNA from 1 species